GAUGAACGCUGGCGGCGUGCCUAAUACAUGCAAGUCGAGCGAACAGACGAGGAGCUUGCUCCUCUGACGUUAGCGGCGGACGGGUGAGUAACACGUGGAUAACCUACCUAUAAGACUGGGAUAACUUCGGGAAACCGGAGCUAAUACCGGAUAACAUGUUGAACCGCAUGGUUCAACAGUGAAAGACGGUUUUGCUGUCACUUAUAGAUGGAUCUGCGCCGCAUUAGCUAGUUGGUAGGGUAACGGCUUACCAAGGCAACGAUGCGUAGCCGACCUGAGAGGGGGAUAGCCGACCUGGGAGCGGGAACGCGGUCCAGACGCCUGCGGGAGGCAGCAGAAGGGAAUCUUACGCAGUAGGCGAAAGCCUGACAGAGCAACGCCGAGUGAGAGAAAAAGGUCUUCGGAGCGGAAAACUCUGUUAUUAGGGAAGAACAAAUGUGUAAGUAAAUAUGCACGUAGUGACGGUACCUGAUCAGAAAGCCACGGCUAACUACGUG
rnacentral:rRNA from 1 species